GUUUUCAUUUUGAUUGCUUCUAUAUUUGUACAUAUCAAUAAAGCAUACUGAAAUCUGUGACUUUUGCUUGUAGAUUUGGUACUUUGGCAAGUCUGAGCACAGUUUGAGAGACUGUUGAGAUCUCUUCUGGAACUCUGGAAAAAAGCAGAUGAGACACAUCUGAGAAUCAGGAAACCUAUGCAAAAACCUCAAUUUGCACUCCAUUUGACAUCAUUGGAGAUCUUGGGGAAACAGUUGAGAUAUUAGAGAGAUGUCCUAUGUGGUUUUUCCAUCAAGUGCUGUGCUAUUUAUCCUCUAUCUGAACAAUAGAGGAAACAUGAACUUCAGGGGACACGAGGAACCUCUGACCGCAGAUGAAGAUUAACCACCGCUGCCUCGGACAUGUUGUGCCCGUCUUCAUUUCCACAAGCUCCGGCUACCAACAGAUCCAUCUAUCACCAGCGAUCAGAUGCUGUUUUUCUAACCAAGCAAUGCAGGGUGACAUGUAUUUUCCUCAAUAGUCCUAGGUGAGCUUCUGUAUCAUAAAUCACAUCAGACAAAGCCCAGCUUGACCUCUAAAUGGGGGAGAUAUCGUCGUAUUCAGAUUCUCAGUGGUGAGGGUUGCUCAUAACCUCGGGCGUUUUUUUUUUUUUGCUUGUCUUGGUUUGAGCUUUGAACAAUGUUUGAGGAAUCCCACGGUCCAGGUGGGAAAAACAAACGAUCCAUGUCUCGAGCCCCAUGGUGUGCGCUUUCCAGUAGACGGAAGCUCUUGCCAUGUCCUCCUGUAUCAGGACUUGAGGAGAGCACGAAUGAUUCGCGCUUGAAGAUCAAGUCUGGGUGAAGUAUUAAUUGCUAACACCCUCUGCGCUACCCAUGCCUGUUUGUCUGCAAGCCCAGAUCAGAGGAAGCGCAAUCAAUGUCCUCAAACUGCCUCUGGAUCUUCAGUCUCCAGGACUUGACGCAACCCUCCCAAAAGUGUAUCUGCAUACCGUUUAAACGAGUCUCC
ensembl:lncRNA